rnacentral:snoRNA from 1 species
AACAUCAGUAGUGGUUAAUACUAUCUUUUGAUAAUAUUAAUUUCAUUAUACCAUAGAAACCUAAAGAUUGAAUAAUUUUUGUUCUUCAUGUUAUACAACUUGGGCAAUGAAGAGCUUGCUCUUUUGCGUCCAUUUUGUUUAAUAAGUUAAUACUGGAACAAGAAUAAUUUAAAUCAUUUCAUACAACCCAUAGCUGAAUGAAUUUUGACCACUCCUAAACAAAGUAGCUACAAUUUUCAUUUCGUUUCCGGUUUCUUAGAUCAAAUAUUAUUCUGAAGAAGUUCCCUGAUUACAAAUCAGGGAAAGGUUCGCGUUUUUAGAGAAUUGCAUAAUGCAAUUUGAGAGUUUAAAUUCCGGUGCGACUCUUCUUCAUGAUAAGACAGUU